UCGUCGGCCCUUUUCAGGGCCAUCAAAUUAAUGCAAAAAGUUAAA
rfam:Aedes aegypti strain Liverpool supercont1.123 genomic scaffold, whole genome shotgun sequence.